GAGUUUGAUCCUGGCUCAGGAUGAACGCUAGCGGCAGGCUUAACACAUGCAAGUCGAGGGGUAACAGGGAGUGCUUGCACUCCGCUGACGACCGGCGCACGGGUGCGUAACGCGUAUGCAACCUACCUUUUACAGGGGGAUAGUCAAGAGAAAUUUUGAAUAAUACCCCAUACGAUCAUUGAUACACAUGUAUUAGUGAAGAAAACUACGGUGGUAAAAGAUGGGCAUGCGUCCUAUUAGCUAGAUGGAGAGGUAACGGCUCCCCAUGGCGACGAUAGGUAGGGGUCCUGAGAGGGAGAUCCCCCACACUGGUACUGAGACACGGACCAGACUCCUACGGGAGGCAGCAGUGAGGAAUAUUGGACAAUGGAGGCAACUCUGAUCCAGCCAUGCCGCGUGCAGGAAGACUGCCCUAUGGGUUGUAAACUGCUUUUAUACAGGAAGAAACACUCCCUCGUGAGGGAGCUUGACGGUACUGUACGAAUAAGGAUCGGCUAACUCCGUGCCAGCAGCCGCGGUAAUACGGAGGAUCCAAGCGUUAUCCGGAAUUAUUGGGUUUAAAGGGUCCGUAGGUGGUUUGCUAAGUCAGAGGUGAAAUCCUGCCGCUUAACGGUAGAACUGCCUUUGAUACUGGCAAACUUGAGUCAUUGUGAAGUAGUUAGAAUGUGUAGUGUA
rnacentral:rRNA from 1 species